UACAGAGGGUGCGAGCGUUAAUCGGAUUUACUGGGCGUAAAGGGCGCGUAGGCGGCCAGCACAAGUCAGUUGUGAAAUCUCCGAGCUUAACUCGGAACGGUCAACUGAUACUGUGCGGCUAGAGUGCGGAAGGGGCAACUGGAAUUCUUGGUGUAGCGGUGAAAUGCGUAGAUAUCAAGAGGAACACCUGCGGCGAAGGCGGGUUGCUGGGCCGACACUGACGCUGAGGCGCGAAAGCUAGGGGAGCGAACGGG
rnacentral:rRNA from 1 species